GCCGGCGUAGCUCAGUUGGUAGAGCAGCUGAUUCGUAAUCAGCAGGUCGCGGGUUCGAAUCCCAUCGCCGGCUCCA
rnacentral:tRNA from 1 species